UACAGAGGUCCCAAGCGUUGUUCGGAUUCACUGGGCGUAAAGGGUGCGUAGGUGGUGAGGUAAGUCGGAUGUGAAAUCUCCGAGCUCAACUCGGAAAUGGCAUUGGAAACUACCUUGCUCGAGGGUUGGAGGGGGGACUGGAAUGCUUGGUGUAGCAGUGAAAUGCGUAGAUAUCAAGCGGAACACCAGUGGCGAAGGCGGCCUUCUGGACUGCUUCUGACGCUCAGACGCGAAAGCUAGGGGAGCAAACGGG
rnacentral:rRNA from 1 species